UUGACACACUGCGGGAGAGGAAAAUGAAGUUACUGGACCCACUGAAACGGGACUCAUUGAUCCUCUAGCCCAUGGUGGGCAGUGUGCAUCAGCGUGGUCCUUCAGACUUUUAGAUGCUCCUUCUCUUCAAAUUUCGUGCUCAUCAAAGUACAUAUUUUUCUGCACUGUAUCAAAGAAUCCUUUGUUUAAUAGAAGACACAGAAUAAUUCAGUAUGGACCUUUGUCUGAGAGGCAUCAGAAGAGAUCACAUCCAUGUGCUUAGAGAACGUCACGUGUGCUCUGCGUCCUCCACGUAGGCAGGGCGGGAUGGCUGAAGUGGGCUGGAGUCCCCACAGGUGGCUGGAGAUGCUCAUGUUCUAUCCCAGGACCAACAAACAGAACCAGAAGAAGAAGCAGAAAGUUGAGCCACCCACGCCACAGGUAGGCAGUGGGUUUGCCAGUUGGUGUCCACUUUGUGGUUUCAGAGAUGAGGAGCUGGGGCAAAGCGAGAGUACCCCAGAAGAUUCAAGGGCUUCAGGACCCAGCCUAAAAUUAGGGGUGAG
rnacentral:lncRNA from 1 species